GUACCGAUGAAGAGUCUCAGAAUAGGACUAAACAGCUGUUUAGUAC
rnacentral:hammerhead_ribozyme from 1 species